rnacentral:pre_miRNA from 1 species
CUGUAACCGGGUUCAAGUAAUCCAGGAUAGGCUUUUUGUAUCUGUCUUGGCCUAUGCUUGAUUACUUGCACUUGGGGGCAG